UCCAAGUGACUCUUAAAGAUGAAAGUUUCGUUCAAACUCUAAAUUAAUAAAUUUGACUAUCUCGAUAUUAUAAUAAAUAAAAAAUAUGAGGAAAUCGAGCUAUUAAAAUAUCAAAAUAAGGAUCUAAAAGAGGACAUUGAGCUUAGAAUGUUAAAAAAUAAAUUUAGCAAAGGCAGUGAACAAAUUGGAGAAAUAAUAAAAGCUGGAGCAAAGUUAACAAACCAGCUGGCUUGUAUUAAUAAUCAAAGGAAGUCGGAAACAACAACCCAAGCUCUUUCAGAUAGUUGCUCACGAAGCCAAAAUGAAACCUAUUUAAAUAUCAACUAUAUGGAUUAUGCAACUGGAUUUGAAGAAGUCGGAAUGGAUGAUUGCGAUGAGUUCCACAUAGGACUCGAUAGAUUCCUCCUUGUGCGAUACCUUUAUGAAAUUAUAUGUUAAAUGUGACAACUUUGCUGUUGGGAAUCUAAGCGAAGGAUUUAUGGUAAAAGAUACUGGCGUGUGUUCAAAAUGUAUUACCACUUCUUAUUCAAAUUCAUAUAAUCAAUCAUCCAUAUAUCGAAAAUGUAGUACCCUUCCUAUGGCUUAGGUAUGAGUCUCCAGAACACACUCCAGUAUCUUUCACCUUAUAUCCUUCGCUUCGAUUGCCAACAACAAAGUUGUCACAUUUAACGUAUAAUUCCAUAAAGAUAUCUCAUGAGGCUUUCCAAGAUUGAUUUCAAUCUAAUCGUAAUUUGACAAUGGAAUUAGGCUUUGGCUGGUAGUUCGAUUCUAUAACUUUUGCCGACAUGGUGUGUACUUCUGUAAAAAUUCAUAUCCGAAGAAAAAACUAAAAGAGACGAACAGCGAUUUUUAAUGGCCAUGUGAUAAUUUUGGAUGAAAAAUAGCCCGAAUAUUAAAUAAUAUUAAUUUAAAUCUAAUUUUAUUUGUAAGAUAGAAUCGAUAAUUCCUAUACCUUUAUACAUACAUUAAAUGUGUAAAAUAAACAUAAUAAACACUGUAUAUACAUAUACGAGUACAUACUAGA